rnacentral:rRNA from 1 species
GAUGAAUGCUGGCGGCGUGCCUAACACAUGCAAGUCGAGCGGCAGCGAGGGGUGCUUGCACCCUGUCGGCGAGCGGCGAACGGCUGAGUAACGCGUAGGAAUUUGCCCCAAAGUGAGGAAUAACUGCCCGAAAGGGUAGCUAAUGCCGCAUAUGGUCUUCGGAUUAAAGGAUUUAUCCGCUUUGGGAGAAGCCUGCGUUGGAUUAGAUUGUUGGUAGGGUAAUGGCCUACCAAGCCGACGAUCCAUAGCUGGUCUGAGAGGAUGAUCAGCCAGACUGGAACUGAGACACGGUCCAGACUCCUACGGGAGGCAGCAGUGAGGAAUCUUCCACAAUGGGCGAAAGCCUGAUGGAGCAACGCCGCGUGAAGGAUGAAGGCCUUCGGGUUGUAAACUUCUUUUAUGAGUGAAGAAUAUGACGGUAACUCAUGAAUAAGCACCGGCUAACUACGUG